rnacentral:rRNA from 1 species
UAACAAGGUUUCCGUAGGUGAACCUGCGGAAGGAUCAUUGUCGAAACCUGCAAAGCAGACCGCGAACACGUGCUCAACUCCGAAAACCACCCGCCGGCGCGCGCGCACCCGUGCGCCGCGCCGCGCGGGCUAACGAACCCCGGCGCGGAAAGCGCCAAGGAAAACUGAAGAGAAAGAGGCGCCGCCGGCGUCUUCUAUCGAAUGUCAAAAUGACUCUCGGCAACGGAUAUCUCGGCUCUCGCAUCGAUGAAGAACGUAGCGAAAUGCGAUACUUGGUGUGAAUUGCAGAAUCCCGUGAACCAUCGAGUCUUUGAACGCAAGUUGCGCCCGAAGCCAUUAGGCCGAGGGCACGUCUGCCUGGGCGUCACGCAUCGCGUCGCCCCCCCGAUCGCACGGUGAUCGAGGGGGCGGAGAUUGGCCUCCCGUGCGCCCCGGCGCGCGGCCGGCCCAAAUGCGAUCCCCCGGCGACCCGCGUCGCGGCGAGUGGUGGUUGAACUCUCAAUCUCGCGUACCGCCGCGCCCCCGGGCCGUCCGAGCGGGCAUCGAGCACAGACCCGAACGGCGAAUGCCUCCGACCGCGACCCCAGGUCAGGCGGGACUACCCGCUGAGUUUAA